GAGCGAAACGGAAACAGCCCAAACCAGAGAGCUUGCUCUCUGGGGUUGUAGGACACUCCACAAGGAGUUACAAAGAAAUUCUUUAGAUGAAUCAACCUGGAAAGGUUAGCCAAAGAGGGUAACAGCCCUGUAAUCGAAAAAGAAUUUCCUCCGGAGUGGAUCCUGAGUACGGCGGAACACGUGGAAUUCCGUCGGAAUCCGGGAGGACCAUCUCCCAAGGCUAAAUACUCUCUAGUGACCGAUAGUGAACCAGUACCGUGAGGGAAAGGUGAAAAGCACCCCGGGAGGGGAGUGAAAGAGUACCUGAAACCGUGUGCCUACAAGUAGUCGAAGCGCGUUCAUGCGUAACGGCGUACCUUUUGUAGAAUGGACCGGCGAGUUACGAUUGUAUGCAAGGUUAAGUGGAAGACACGGAGCCGUAGCGAAAGCGAGUCUGAAUAGGGCGAUUUAGUAUGCGGUCGUAGACCCGAAACCGUGUGAUCUACCCAUGUCCAGGGUGAAGGUCAGGUAACACUGACUGGAGGCCCGAACCCACGUAUGUUGAAAAAUGCGGGGAUGAGGUGUGGGUAGGGGUGAAAUGCCAAUCGAACACGGAGAUAGCUGGUUCUCUCCGAAAUAG
rnacentral:rRNA from 1 species